CGAGGGUGUGCUCUCGAUUCCCUGGAUUACGAUAUGUACCGUGCUCUCGGCAACGAUUGAAGUGUGAGCAACAGAAUGCUUGGCUCCUUGCACAGCCUAGCACAAAACAAGUAGGCAUGAAGAUUCCUGACCCAACUCCAAUGCUCCACGUGUGGUGUUCAUAACAUAUGUCAUGUUUGAUCACAAAUUCUCAUGCCUGCCGGUAUUCACUAGGUCGUGCAAAGGCCAGCCACCCUCGUGCUCCACAUUUCAAGUGUUGCGGUCGGAGGGUGUUACCACCGGGGAGCAACACUUCUCACUUUCCAACUCUUGGGGCACAAUAGGAGGCUCACCGGGUGUCUCAGAGUUACCCAGCGGUUGUGUACCAGGUGACCUGCUUACCUCCCUGAAAGAGACAGUACAGUACUCAACAAAUGUAGUGUGAUUCAUAUUCAAAUUCAUGUGUGUUCAGAUGUCAUGCUACAGAUAUACAGAAACUGUUGGCACCCGUAGCCUAUUUUGAGUGUGGGUUCCAACAUAAAAUCACAGUUGAGAUAAUGUUAGCAUGUGGCUUUUGGUGCCCUAAUUUUGAAGUGCUGGUGAAUAUUUAACUCGUGACCAGUUCAGAACACGAUAGAAGAUGAAAGCGAGCACCGACUCUCCGAUUUGGCACUUACUAAAUGUCUCGACUACACAGCACGCCUUGAUUUUCAGCCGUGCUUUCUUGCACUCGCCUCCCAUGUCUUGUGUGCUCUGUAGCACUCUCAUCUCCAUUUGUCUCCACUGACUGUUAUUGCUUUGUUUUAUUGCUGUCCAGUCAUGGAAGGAAGUUAAAGCCAUAAGUGGGCAACAAGAAAUAUGUGUCUGUCAGCCUGCCAGAAAGUGCCAGCACUUUGAAAUUCGAUAGCUGCUACGAAAUGUGUCUUCGCGGUGUGCACUCCAUUCACAUCUGUAGCUUGAAAACAAAUACACCAGCCUGUCUCUGCAUAUCAAGGUGCACAGUGUUGCCAACAUUGCAGGCAGGCGCACGCACCCUGAUAUACCAUCACUGUCGGAUGCCAGUGCUGAAUUUCAAUCCCAUACGAGUAUUUAACAAUGAAAAAACUAGGUUUUGCCUUGUCAAUUGCAACGCCACCUCAUCAGGUGAGACGAUACGCCUGUCUGUCUUUCCUCGUGUUUUUUGGUGGCCACACUUGAAUGUCAGAUUCUCUAAUCAAUGCGUUUCAGAAAACUACCUCUUGCAUGUAGGUUUAUGCCGCACACCAGAUUAGAGAAUGUAGCAGUUUAUGGCAUUUCAUUUGUUGAGCCAUGUACUUGUUUCCUGCAUGCCUUGAACUGGACAUUGACAGUCGUUAAUUCACAUUUCCUGCUAACUAUGCGUGGUAAACCAGUGGAUUAUAAGUUGGGUUCCUACAAAAGAGUUUCAAAGGCACGCCUCAUAUUGUUUGCUUGGAGAAUCUCCUCGGGCACACUUGUGACAUGACUGACCAAGGCAGAUAUGGGGUCAAAGAAAGACUGGUAAGCCAAAAUGUUCUGUAUGACACCACCCUCCUUGGUGUGAGCAAGCAUCAAGCAUCUAUUCCUACACCUUCGUGUAUGAUACACCCACUUUUUCAGCGUCACCUGUAUCUGGUGUAAUCUCGCUCGUCUGUAAUAUAGUAAGUUUUGCUGAACACUUCCCAGUCUACUUUAUUUCGAGGAAUGUUUAGCUGCAGUAAAUUUGGGCAGUUGGUGUAAUUGAAAGUUAGCUUGUGUGUGUCAUUCUAAUUUCUAGUGCCAACCGAUGCGUCCACCAGGGCUGUGCAAAGACGCCUUGCGAAAAGUGGCAUCUGGCAUUAAGCUGCCGUCGUGUCACUUUCUCUGCACGGCCGCAUUCCCCGGGCCAGCAACCGGAACAGACAGUGAGACUAUGUCGCAGGGUGCACUUGUAACAGGUUAAUUGUAUGCAACUGACAAUGAAAUGCUGACCAGCUUGUUUUACAUCACUUGUUUGUCAGCAAGCAUGCCAGCAUCACUCGUUUAACUAGUCCUGUCAGUCAAUUCAUUCCAAUGCUAGAUCACCGGUGAAGUACCUGGCUACAUGUGCAGUCUGUGGAAGUGUCAAGAAAAGUGUGAAUACUGCUGUUUUCACUGAUGAAGCAUGCCAGCCACUGCUUGUUGGUGCUAUGCUCGCAGCCACUUGCCUGCAGCAAAAGUUGGUAUUGCAACAUGCAAUAGCUGUGAAGUUUUGGUAGCAAAAGCAGUACUCUUUUGUGAAUACCUGUACAGCAGCCUUAACAGCCAACCGGAAGAAGCUGUGCAAGGACAGGGCUACACAGUAUUGUAUCUCCCGAUGCUCUCGCCUCUUAUGCAGCUUUAGCGUCCGCGAGAACCAUUGCUUACUCAUGUCAAGCAGGCUAGCUUGUCAGGCUGUUUAUUAGAGCGUUCAGGUUCUCACUCUCUUAAACUUGAUUUUCACUGCAGGUCCGAGCUGUUAAAACUGUCAUGAAAGGCUUUAGAUGGAUGAAAGCAUUCUGCAAUAACAUUUGAAGAGUGGCGUGGGCACGUAUGAUCCUUUUGUAGGUUUGCCAUAGAUGCAUGCAUUUGAUAUGGCAUCAUGUGCACUUGAUCAACUGUGGAGAGAACAAAACUGUUUCCUGUUUUUGGGAGCCUGAAAGCAGGAGUAGCCUUAUCAACAAAUGAAUUUUGGAACUUCUACCAGCUUGUGAUUUGGGCAUGUGGGGCCUAAGUGGCUCGUCACGCUGUUCUUGCUUUCCUCACAAAGUUUCAUGGCACACACGCACUAAAUAGUCACAAUAAAUUUUGCUAAAUUGCGGAAUUAUCCAUAUUGAGUUUGUGAAUGUUAGACUAGCCCCACUGCUGUGUAAAUACUGGUGAUGCCUACCGCCAGCUGCGUCUGUGUGGCUUUUCCCAUGCAUGUGCAGUUGGGUGGAAAUAGUGCCAGUAAUUGUAAUGGUGGAAUGGCAACACUGUGCUAGAAUGCUCUACUAAAUAUGAUCAGUCUGGGCGUCAGCGGAGGAUCAGUACAUCAGAAACCACAUAGAAAUGAAAAGUAGGUAGGUGGACUACACUAAAAUUCUUGCACAAGCUCUUGGUAACCCUACAGAUAAUGGCAACGUUUGGUAGAAGCUGGUUCAUGGUUUAUUAAUAAGGAAUUAAUUACGCAGGCGUUUAAAAGUGAGCUUACACUCAACCUGGCAACUAUCAUUGUAGAGCCGUUUUGUACAAAAAAGGAAGGACACAAAUACAUGAAGAUAUCGCGAAACUUGUGACAGCGUCAUGACACUGCAAAUGCUGCACUUUGGGUUAAUACCAACACUUCAUCUAGACUCCAAGAAGCAAAGGACAGUGUUAUCCUUUGAGUGGAAUGCUUAUUGUCCUUCAGUAGGGUCCCUUGGCGAUUGCUGAGCGAGUAUUUCAGAACCAGGCGCUCUUGGCAGCAAAUUAAGGCACUGUAGUAGACUGCUUUUUCCACGAAAGCCCUUGUCACAGAAGCAAGCUAGAAGCAUUAUUGGAUCAGUGCUACAUCAAACAAGGAUGUGGCGCUGUCCUCGAGGGACAUUUUCCACCUUGUCCUCCGGCGACGAGGAUUUUCACGGAAAAAACAGUCUUCUCUCCACUGCCUUUUAUUCUUUGCCGAGAGUGCCCGUUGGUAAAAUCUUUGCUCGGGAAUCACCGAGGAGCAGAGGAGAGUAGAGGCUCAUUUGUGAAUGCAGGCAGUUCACUUUCACUUUAGCAUCUCUGUGGUGUGACCACAUGUCGUGCGUGAGUGACCUAGCCCAGAAUUUCUGAUCAAAGCGAGUUGUCGUUUAGUGAGCGAAGUUACACCAGCUACAGUUUGGCACAGCCAUCUCGAGUAGUCUUGGUAGAUGGCCUUCCAACAGAGUACCUGAGUACUGUGAGAAAAUAUUGCGUGCAUGGUCUUUCCACCCUCGAUAGCUAGUUGUCAGAAUUACUACUAGGUGUCGGAAUUACUGACUCCAUGCUAUGGCUUUUCUGUUGUCUGAAGAACUAGAUUGUCUUUGAGAUGAGCUUUCACGGUGACAAAUUAUGCUACAUGUAAAAGGAAAAAAUGAAUUUUUAUACUGGCUGACUAGAAAAAAAUAUGUCGGCAGAGAACCGAAUUUUUUAUGUUUUUUUUAACAUGUGCACAGAUAUGUGUUGUGUGAAAACUGUGCUGAAGUCUUGUUUUUAUAAUUCCUGUAUCAAUAUUAUUUUUGUCAGUGUUUUUUCAUUACUUGCGAGAUCAUGUUUGUUUUCAGGCAUUUUCGGUGAUUUGUUUUCAUGAGCAGACUGCAUGAGCUUAACUUCAUGUUUUUUCGUUUUGUUUUAUUGAGUCAUCAGUGUGAAGCUAAAAGUGCUCAAUAAUGCAUCUUUGUGUUCUGCACAUUUGUUUGACCAAUAUUUGUGUGCUCAGUAUGUUUAGUACGGCUGUUUGUUUGAGUCAUGUUCUUUUCAUCAGUAGAUGUUCAGUAAAAGCUUUUUUUUUAA
rnacentral:lncRNA from 1 species